rnacentral:misc_RNA from 1 species
AACGCACCUUGCACCUUUUGGCAUUCCGAAAGGUACACCCGUUUGAGUGUCAUUGUAAUCUCACUCCUUCAACUUUUGUUGAUGGAUGUGGACUUGGACUCUGUUGUGUUACUACGACUGGUCUUAAAUGUAUGAGUGCACCCUGCUGUUGCAGCGUCUUCAGUGUGAUAAGCAUCUUCACUGGAUAAAGUUCCUUUGGGACACGCAGGCAUUGUGGGCUCUGUGCUAACAACUGUCUUUGGACAACUUUGACAAUUUGACCUCAAAUCGGGUGGGACUACCCGCUGAACUUAA